GGGGUUGUGGCUCAGUGGUAGAGUGCUCGCCUAGCAUGUGUGAGGCCCUGGAUUCGAUCCUCAGCACCA
rnacentral:tRNA from 1 species